GACGAACGCUGGCGGCGUGCUUAACACAUGCAAGUCGAACGGAAAGGCCCCUUUGGGGGUACUCGAGUGGCGAACGGGUGAGUAACACGUGCGUAACCUGCCCUUGACUUCGGGAUAACUUCAGGAAACUGGGGCUAAUACCGGAUAGGAAUCCUUGCUGCAUGGUGGGGGUUGGAAAGCUUCGGCGGUUUUGGAUGGACUCGCGGCUUAUCAGCUUGUUGGUGGGGUAGUGGCUUACCAAGGCUUUGACGGGUAGCCGGCCUGAGAGGGCGACCGGCCACAUUGGGACUGAGAUACGGCCCAGACUCCUACGGGAGGCAGCAGUGGGGAAUAUUGCACGAUGGGCGGAAGCCUGAUGCAGCAACGCCGCGUGCGGGAUGACGGCCUUCGGGUUGGAAACCGCUUUCAGCAGGGGCGAAGCUUGUGGUGACGGUACCUGCAGAAGAAGCACCGGCUAACUACGUG
rnacentral:rRNA from 1 species